rnacentral:lncRNA from 10 species
GGGAACAAAGGUUAAUACAUUAUUAAAUAGAUCUAUCUAAAAACUUAUCUAUAUUAACAUUACACGUAAAUGAUCUAAAUCCUUAAUUAAAAACUAGAGAUCAUCAGAAUGUAUUAAAAGUAAAUAUGCUGACUGUAAGAAAGCCACCUGCAAUACACUUAUAUAUCAGAAUAAAAGUUAUAUAGCAGAUUGAAGGAAAAGAGUGGGAAAGAUACCUCAUGCAAGCAUUAAUCAAAGACAGCUGUGGUGUAUACAUUAAAAUCAGACAAAGUAGAUUUGAAAGCAGAGAAACUUUUCAGGAAUAAUGAAGGCUGCUAGAUAAUUACGAAUGUCCAUUCUCCAGGGAAUACUGUUCCAAAUGUAUAUGAGGACACAGAUUUUCAAAACUCAUAAACAAAAUUAGAUAAGCCAGGUAAAAAUAGAAAUAUCCAAUUUUAGUUGAAGACACUAAAACUCCUCUCUCAGUCAUUGGUAGACUUAGUAGACAACAAAUCAGCCAACAUAUUGGAGAACUGAACCACACCAUCCACCAAUGGAUCUGAUCAACUUCAUAACGCAAAAUAAAAAUUUAGCCAGAAAGCAAAGACAAAAAUUAAAAGAAAAGUAAGAUCAUGUUAUAACCAGGAAAUUAAGAGUGGUCCAUCAUAUAGAAGGGUGCUAUUAUUGAAAGAGUUUGAAAUAGUGACUUAGUUAUUUUGAAAGAGUUUUGAAGGCAUUAUUUAGCUGGAAAUGACAGAAAGACUGAAAAUGGUGAAUCUGGAGGUGGAUCUUCCCUCAUCUAUAUUUAUCUUGUUUUCUUUUGAGGUCUAGGGUGUCUAUACUUCCUCUGAAUUACCUGAUCCUACUACAGUGUCUGGCACAGAGCAUCUCCCCAGUGAAUAUGUACUAAAUGAGUGGAAAGUAAUUGAUAGAUUCAAAAGAGUUGUGCAAGAAUAAUGUUCAUUAUUUGGCAAAUCAUUGAAUGUGGUGUUUGAUGGAAGACAAUGAAUCAAAGUUGACUUGAAAGGUAAGCCCAAGGCCAGACGUGGUGGCUCAUUUCUGUAAUCCCAGCACUUUGGGAGGCCGAGGUGGGCAGAUCCCUUGACGCCAGGAGUUUGAGACCAGCCUGGGCAACCCAGUGAAAUCCUGUCUCUACAAAAAAAAACAAAAAUUAGCCGGGUGUGGUGGUAUGCAUCUGUAGUUCCAGCUACUCAGGAGGCUGAGGUGGGAGCAUCACUGGAACCCGGGAGGCGGAGGUUGCAGUGAACAGAGA